CGACGGGUAUCCGGCCUGAGAGGGUGUACGGACACAUUGGGACUGAGAUACGGCCCAGACUCCUACGGGAGGCAGCAGUGGGGAAUAUUGCACAAUGGGCGCAAGCCUGAUGCAGCGACGCCGCGUGGGGGAUGAAGGCCUUCGGGUUGUAAACUCCUUUCGCUAUCGACGAAGCCUNNUGGGGAGANGGGGNG
rnacentral:rRNA from 1 species